AGGAAUACCAGUGGCGAAAGGCGGCCCCUGGCACAAUACUGACGCUCAGGUUGCGNAAAGCNGUNGGGGAGCAAACAGUGUAUUAGAUACCCUGGUAGUCCACGCCGUAAACGAUGUCUACUAGCUGUUCGUGGUCUUGUACUGUGAGUAGCGCAGCUAACGCACUAAGUAGACCGCCUGGGGAGUACGGUCGCAAGAUUAAAACUCAAAUGAAUUGACGGGGGCCCGCACAAGCGGUGGAGCAUGUGGUUUAAUUCGACGCAACGCGAAGAACCUUACCUACUCUUGACAUCUAGCGAAGAUUGCAGAGAUGCAGUUGUGCCUUCGGGAACGCUAAGACAGGUGCUGCAUGGCUGUCGUCAGCUCGUGUUGUGAAAUGUUGGGUUAAGUCCCGCAACGAGCGCAACCCUUAUCCUUAGUUGCCAGCACGUAAUGGUGGGAACUCUAGGGAGACUGCCGGUGAUAAACCGGAGGAAGGUGGGGACGACGUCAAGUCAUCAUGGCCCUUACGAGUAGGGCUACACACGUGCUACAAUGGUACGUACAGAGGGAGGCAAGCUGGCGACAGUGAGCGGAUCUCUUAAAGCGUAUCGUAGUCCGGAUCGCAGUCUGCAACUCGACUGCGUGAAGUCGGAAUCGCUAGUAAUCGCAAAUCAGAAUGUUGCGGUGAAUACGUUCCCGGGCCUUGUACACACCGCCCGUCACACCAUGGGAGUGGGUUGCAAAAGAAGUAGGUAGCUUAACCUUCGGGAGGGCGCUUACCACUUUGUGAUUCAUGACUGGGGUGAAGUCGUAACAAGGUAACCAAUCCCGCGGCCAUG
rnacentral:rRNA from 1 species